rnacentral:rRNA from 1 species
AUUGAACGCUGGCGGCAGGCCUAACACAUGCAAGUCGAGCGGAUGAAGGGAGCUUGCUCCUGGAUUCAGCGGCGGACGGGUGAGUAAUGCCUAGGAAUCUGCCUGGUAGUGGGGGAUAACGUCCGGAAACGGGCGCUAAUACCGCAUACGUCCUGAGGGAGAAAGUGGGGGAUCUUCGGACCUCACGCUAUCAGAUGAGCCUAGGUCGGAUUAGCUAGUUGGUGGGGUAAAGGCCUACCAAGGCGACGAUCCGUAACUGGUCUGAGAGGAUGAUCAGUCACAAUGGAACUGAGACACGGUCAAGACUCCUACGGGAGGCAGCAGUGGGGAAUAUUGGACAAUGGGCGAAAGCCUGAUCAAGCCAGGCCGCGUGUGUGAAGAAGGUCUUCGGAUUGUAAAGCACUUUAAGUGGGGAGGAAGGGCAGUAAGUAAAUACCUUGCUGUUUUGACGUUACAAAAAGAAUAAGCACCGGCUAACUUCGUG